UGAGUUAGCUGUACGGUUGCGGGGAAACUUUUAAGUUUCCGUGAGGAAAGUCCGAGCUUCAUAAAGCAGGGUGCCGGAUAACGUCCGGUAGCGGUAACGUUCAGGAAAGUGCAACAGAAAAUAACCGCUCGAAAGAGUAAGGGUGAAAAGGCGAGGUAA
rnacentral:RNase_P_RNA from 1 species